rnacentral:rRNA from 1 species
GAUGAACGCUGGCUACAGGCUUAACACACGCAAGUCGAGGGGCCGGCGCACGGGUGAGUAACGCGUAUCCAACCUGCCCAUCACUGGGGAAUAACCUUGCGAAAGUAAGACUAAUACCCCAUGGUGAUGGAUGGGGAUGCGUCCGAUUAGCUUGUUGGCGGGGUAACGGCCCACCAAGGCUACGAUCGGUAGGGGUUCUGAGAGGAAGGUCCCCCACAUUGGAACUGAGACACGGUCCAAACUCCUACGGGAGGCAGCAGUGGGGAAUAUUGGUCAAUGGACGGGAGUCUGAACCAGCCAAGUAGCGUGCAGGAUGACGGCCUAUGGGUUGUAAACUGCUUUUAUAGGGGAAUAUGUACCCUAUGAAUAAGGACCGGCUAAUUCCGUGCCAGCAGCCGCGGUAAUACGGAAGGUCCGGGCGUUAUCCGGAUUUAUUGGGUUUAAAGGGAGCGUAGGCCGGAUGUUAAGCGUGUUGUGAAAUGCCGCGGCUCAACCGUGGCACUGCAGCGCGAACUGGCAUUCUUGAGUGCGCACAAGGCAGGCGGAAUUCGUGUGUAGCGGUGAAAUGCUUAGAUAUCACGAAGAACCCCGAUUGCGAAGGCAGCUUGCCGGGGCGUAACUGACGCUGAAGCUCGAAAGCGUGGGUAUCGAACAGGAUUAGAUACCCUGGUAGUCCACGCGGUAAA